rnacentral:rRNA from 1 species
AUGAAUAACAAUGGUUUGACUGAGCAAGACCUUGUCUUUCGUUUGGGAUCAAGCGCCCAUGAUCAGCAUGGGGGUACACCAGUUUCAGAAAAUCAAAGUGCCCUACCUGGAGCGGCGCAACUUCCAAGCAAUCCAGAAGUGGGCAAUGCUGGAACUUCUGGACUUAUGGGUGGAGAAGGCAAUUUGGGAGAUGUCCUUAAGUUCAUGGAGAAUUCUCGAAGGGAGUCCCAAGAGAACCAGAACCGCUUCCUCGAAGGGAUACUGACAAGACUAGUUCCUGGAGGAGCAAACCUACCCGGUGCAGGAGUAAGCUUGGGAGAAUUUCUGAAAACUCAGCCACCCACAUUCUCCAAGGCGGUGGAUCCACUAGAGGCAGAUGACUGGCUGUUAGAAGUAGAACACAAUCUGGAAACCGUGGGGUGCUCAGAUGAAGAGAAGUUUAAUGAUUUGGCAAGAUAUGCCCUGGAUGAUGUGAAUACAGAAGCCAAGAAGGUGGAAAAGUUUAUGGAAGGGCUGCAUCCAUUCCUGAAAAUGCACCUCUCGAUUCACGGGAUCACCCAGUUUCAAGACCUUGUCAACAGGGCCUUCAUACUUGAGAAUGAGCAUGCCAACCUAAGUGAAGAAAGAAGGAAGAAGGCAAGGGUAGAUCCACGCCCCAUGAUGCAUCACCCACGUCCUAUGAUGCCUGUACCAGUGCGUCCUCAUAUGCCACCACCACGGCCUAGAUUUCCUACUCAGCCAACCUUUGUUCCUAAAUGUGGGAAGUGUGGAAAAGGUCAUGCUACUCGAGAUUGUAUGACGGGUACAGGACUUUGCUUCAAUUGUGGGAGGCCAGGACACCACAAGCUCAAUUGCACCUCUCCUCCCGUGAAUCCUACAAGGCCACCUAUACAUCAGACUCAAGUGCAUCGUCCACCAGCUGGGCGAGGACAAGGCGGACCUAUGAACUAUACAGCAAGAGGAGCUGGGCGUGGAGGACAAGUAGGAGGACAACCAAGGCUGAAUUAUGUGGCUGCAGAGCAACUAGGAGAAGCUACAGAUGUUGUCAUCGGUAAACUACUCAUUCCUCCUUCAGUUGUUGGACCAACACAAAAUAUCUCUGGGUCAACCAGUACAGCAAGACACAUGGACCACCACCCUCACGUGCACCAUAUUAAUAGUCAAUUGGUCAGCAGUAUAGUCUAUGUAUGGGCUUCAACCUUCAGCCAAUUAGAAGCUAGCACCUGUGAGAACAAUGGAGAAGAGGAUGGGCAGCCAUACCAGCCAAGGGAGACUGAAGGGGACAGGCUAGAGCAAGAAGCUAGCCUACUGGACUGGGGUCUGGAGCGUAGGAGCAGCAAGAGUAGGGCCAACAGAGAGAACAGAAGAAGAAAGGGAGUGAUGAACUUGUUCAACACACACAUGGAACAAGGCAUCACUAACCUGCACAUAUGUUCGAUCUGCUCCAUGGCCACGCACUGGAGCUCUAACCUGCACCAUCCAGCAUUACGGCGACGCCCAACACCGACCACUUCAAUCCGGAGCAGGGAAAUCACAUCCCCAAUAGGGUUUGACCUGCAAGCCAAAAAGAACACACACACACAGAGGGGGAUUAGAGAGUUGAGGCUGAAAUUCAUGGGGAUAAUAUGGGGAAUCACAUCAGGGGAGAGAGAGUGUGGAGGAUCUAGCAGCGGCAUCUUUCCCGUCGCUGGCGGCGGCGCCGAUCUGGGGAAGGAGCAGAGGAGCAUCAGUCUGUACUAUUACUUGUGUUCUUCCUGGACUAAUAGAAGCGAGUACAGUCAGGAGAAGGAGGCGCUACAGAAGCAAACUGAGUCCGGGUCUGAGUACGAGAACUCAGGCAAGCUCUCAUUGAUCAUGCUGAGUAGAGCUACUUUUGAAAAACACUAUUCUCUGCUGCAUCUUAUCAUCAACUUGCAUAAAAUGUUUUGGAGGGUGCCCUGGAUGGACAUACGGGAAGAGCAAAGCUUGUAUGAGAAUCCUACUGGACCAAGUGAGGAGAGCAAUGGUGAUGGCUACAACUACACAGGGGACCUAGAUGUGGAUCCAUCUAGUGCUAUGAUCGUCGUCGUCGUCGUCUCCCGCGGCACCAGCCUCCUCGUCCUGCGCGAUCUCCCACCAAACCUCCGGGUCCUCCUCCUCCGGUGGAAGGAUGAAGUCGAUCGCGGCCCCAACGCUGCGGCGGAUGUUGUUGGCCUCGUCCGCCGCCGCGAGGAGGGCGUCGCAGGCGCGGCGGCGCUUCUCGUUGAGGACGAACUCGGCGCGGGGAGGACGGGGCUGGGAGGUGAGGACGAGCAUCCCCGACCUGAGGAAGGCCGCGGUCGAGUCGACGAGGGCGAGCGUGUCGUCGGCGUGCGUCCUGGCGGCGCGAAGCUCCACGAGAGUGCUCCACGCGCCCUCAUCGACACCUUGGAGCUCGUCGAUCGACGCGAGGGGCACGGCGGGGUCAGCGCUCCCUCCCAUCAGCGCAUGGCCCUCGGCGGAGACCAUGGCGGCCCGGAGCUCGGUGACGACCUCGGAGCGCCUGGUGAUCUGGUCGUACGCCGCCUUCAUCCUCGCGAGGGAACGAGCGUCCUCGAGGUCGGAGAUGGGGAGCUCGAUCACCUGGACGAGCUCGGUGUCGAUGCGGACGAGGAGGGCGUGCAGCUCCUCCCGGAGCUGCGCGCGCCAUGCGGGCUCCGGCUCCGGCUCCGCCAUGGCUUCUGCCGCUCUCUCUCUCUCUCUCUUCCCCGGGACUCCUCUCUCUCCUCCUCGCGCAACUGCGGGAUUGCGGUUGGUUUGAAAGUGGACCCCACAGCGUGCAGCUGGGCAACGCAUCCCCUGCCGCCUCUUCUCCACCUCCGACGCCCCCCGCCCCAACCCACCCCAUGGCCUCCACCGCCGACCCCCGUCCGCCGUGGCCUCCUCCUCUCACUACCACUCCGUGGACCUUCCACGUCAUCUCCCGUCUCCGCCGCCCACCGACUUGGCCUCGGUCGUCUCCAGCGCCGCCGCCGCCGCUUCCUGUAUGAGGAGUUCGUCGUCCUCCCUCAGGUCCGCCGCUUCCUCCAGGAGCAGCGGCCCUCCACUUCGUUCGCCCGCCCAUCCCCUGCCUGGGCCCGCCACCACCUCCCAAUCUCCCCCUGCGCAGAUCUGGGCCUGCAGAGGAACAACGACAUGGGGAUCUGCUUCUUGGUGGAUAAACUGCAAAGCCUGCGCGGGCAGAUGGCCGUUACGUGUGAUGUUGCUUGUGCUUGGGUGCUGCUUCUAGCUACAGGCUACUGCUGGCGCGAGCUGCUGCUGCUUUUGUUGCCUCUGCUAGUGAUGUCAACUUGUGAUUGUGAUUGUUGUUUAUUUCUGGCUGCUCUUUGUCUGCGCUCCAUGAAAAUUGUUCCUAGCUGCUCCCCCACCCUUGCAUGUUUCCUCCCAGACAUGAUUUGUAUAGUUGAAUGCAAGGACAAUGCUGCUAAUGUGCAAUUGCAACUGCUCUCAGUUUUGGCAUCUCUAGGAGCCAUGCUUGCUGCCUCCGCACGCCGGAUUGCUGCUGAUCCCAUCACUGGGCAAGGCCUCAUCUGCUUCCUGUCGCUGACAACCCGUACCUGCAGUCGUUCACGCAAGGCACCAGCCAGAAAUGGGCUGGAUGUUUCUGUUCUAGUUGAUCAGGAGAUAAAUGACUGGCUUGUAGCUUUGAUCUGA